GGGCUUCCGGUAGCGUGGUUGUGUCUGCUGCGACGCUGAAAGGAAGACCGGUGAGGUGCACCAUUGGAAGCCCCCGCCCCCCAAUGAACCGGUCAAAGGGGGUAAAUCCUGGAAAAUGAGUCUGCAAUUCCUUUUUAUUCCUUUUUUUUGGCGGGAGGUUGAGACAGGCUUUCGUAUGCAACUCAAUCUGGCUUUGAACUUGCGAUGCUCCGUGCUGGUGCUGAGUGCUGAGCCAAGCAGAGGACCCUGGACCGUUACCUGCAUUCUUUCCCAGAAGCCACGGGUGACGGGGCCUUCUAGAACAAGAGAGUUUGUCUCGACUCAGUGGCACUUCCUUCUGGGGCCAUGGGUGGAACUGAACAGCAAGACUUAGAACCCUCAGGCUCAGCGCCACUAAUCCCCGUUACUACCUCAUCUACAAAAUGGGCAUAAUAACAAAAUAACAAUGAUCAGCCAGGGGGCAGGUGUAACAAUGGCUGCCCCUUUAUGAGUUGUCCCUUUGACUUCCCAUUCCUUUUCCAGUAUUCCAAAUUUUCAAGAAAAGCAGUUAAAAUGUUGACAGCCAGAAGGUACUUUAUUUAGGCUUACAAAUCCCACAUCUGGUGACCCUCAGAUUCUGUCAGAAUGUGUAAGAUCUCUUCAUUUGUAGUCCUGUGCUUUAGCCAACAUAAAGCAUGCAAAUUGAUGUGAGUUUUAACUUUCAGAAAAGUAAUAUGUUUGUCUAAAGAAUUCCUGGAACUAGCUCUAGGCAGUCAAGGUCAGCUGUUCUAUGCACAAUGGAUGAAGACUCCACUUAGCAUGUAGACUUUCUGUUCCUUUCCCAAUUAUGACCACGCCUACUUUCUUUCCCUAUAAAAGCUCUUUUGUGCACCUGAUCACCUUUGGGGGACAAUACCUUCCCUCAUCUUCUCAAUGUGUGAGCAUUUAAAUAAACCUGAUUUUCCUCCCCAUCAACUCUUGUCUCCUGAGUGUUGAUUUU
rnacentral:lncRNA from 1 species